GCCAGCAGCCAUAUCACUCUGCAACUGUCAACCCACUGAAGCUAAGCAGGUGUGAGCCUGGUCAGUACCUGGAUGGGAGACCUCCUGGGAAACACUAAGGUUGUUGCUGGAA
rnacentral:rRNA from 1 species